rnacentral:rRNA from 1 species
AUGAGCCCUCCUCCGCCGUCGCGUCCGACUCCCACUUACAUCCUCCUCCUGCUGAUCUUCUUCUCGCUAACCGCGUCGGCUGCGCAACCAAAAGGGGUAUGUGUUUCACCUGGUGGACGGUUCCCUGCUUUCUCAUCUGAAGGCAAGCCUCCUGGAAAAGCAGCAAAGGGGCGCAGAGACCUAGCACUAUGUAGGAUAUUCCGCCAGAACACAUGUUGUGACGUGACACAGACAUUUCCUGCCCUGCUUUCAGUGCGAAAGCUCUCGUCAACUGGUGAAGGCAGUGGAGAAUGCCUUCAUUUGUGGGAGUUGCUCGAGUGCUCAGUCUGUGAUCCACGGGUGGGUGUCAGGCCUGGACCUCCUGUUAUAUGUGCAUCAUUCUGUGACAUGGUUUUCGAAGCUUGUUCGGAGGCAUACUUCUCCAUUGAUACAAAAACACAGGCCUUAUCUCCUUGUGGUUUAGGUGACAUCCUUUGUGGCAAAGCACAUAAGUGGGUUUCUAACGGCACAGAGCUAUGUCGCCUUGCUGGUUUCUCUGUGCAAGUUUCUGAUGCCAGUCCUAGUGAAGUUGUCGAAACCUUCUGCUAUGGCGGGAAAGCAAGUUUGGAUUCCAUCUCUUAUACAUGGACGUCUUCAAAAGAUCGUCCAGUAUUACAUGAUAUGGCCUCCUGGGAUCUUGAAAAUUUUCAGAGAUGGGCAAAAGAAAUGCCUGUUGGUGAAAGAAUUUCGUGGGCAGUUGGAGGAAUGGUUCUUACAGCAGGCCUUAUUUUUAUCAGCAAAAGAGAGGGCUACAGCCGUCGUCGUAAGCAAGCUUCUGUCGCUCAAACUGUAAGAAAAAAAUGGAAUCGGGAGCUAACCCGCAGCAACUGA